ACGAACGCUGGCGCGUGCUUAACACAUGCAAGUCGAACGGAAAGGCCCUGCUUUUGUGGGGUGCUCGAGUGGCGAACGGGUGAGUAACACGUGAGUAACCUGCCCUUGACUUUGGGAUAACUUCAGGAAACUGGGGCUAAUACCGGAUAGGAGCUCCUGCUGCAUGGUGGGGGUUGGAAAGUUUCGGCGGUUGGGGAUGGACUCGCGGCUUAUCAGCUUGUUGGUGGGGUAGUGGCUUACCAAGGCUUUGACGGGUAGCCGGCCUGAGAGGGUGACCGGCCACAUUGGGACUGAGAUACGGCCCAGACUCCUACGGGAGGCAGCAGUGGGGAAUAUUGCACAAUGGGCGGAAGCCUGAUGCAGCAACGCCGCGUGCGGGAUGACGGCCUUCGGGUUGUAAACCGCUUUCGCCUGUGACGAAGCGUGAGUGACGGUAAUGGGUAAAGAAGCACCGGCUAACUACGUG
rnacentral:rRNA from 1 species